GAUCUGUGAUUACUUUUCCACCCCGGAUUCCAAAAAACAUCUCAUCCCUAUUUCCUCAGACAUGGGUUGAUGAACAACAUGAUGUUUCCUGCUGAUGUAACUGGAAAGUUUAGAAAGUUGUCCCAGUAUUUGGGUUUACGCCAAUCAUGUGGAUGACCUGGAUUGAGUUCUGGCAUCUUGGCUUUGGUAUAGAUCAACUGUGAGCAUUUCAGCCACAUAAGAGAUCUUGAAGAUCACCAGUUUGAAGAUUUAAUUUUAAAAUAUUUUAAUUUGAAGGACAAAGAGAUACAUAAAUGCACCAGCACAGGUGCAUACAGAUUCUCCAGGUUCAUAGAAUUGACCCUGGGGUUUGUUAUCAAAGCUGAGCACUCUGACGUGGGCUGUAGCCAAUAUAGCAGGGAAUUGAAACUGUUUUCAUGACAAAGAAAAUCAAACUACUGAGGGAGAGAAAUCAUUAGUGACUCGACCUGCCUGG